GAUUAACGCUGGCGGCGUGCCUAACACAUGCAAGUCGAACGAAGUGGCGGACGGGUGAGUAACGCGUGAGUAACCUGCCUUAGAGAAGGGGAUAGCCUUUGGAAACGAAGAAUAAUACCCUAUACUCUAAGAGUGAGUUGCGUCUGAUUAGUUAGUUGGAGGGGUAACGGCCCACCAAGACAGGGAUCAGUAGCCGGCAUGGGGGAGUGGACGGCCACAUUGGGACUGGGACAAGGCCCAGACUCUACGGGAGGCAGCAGGGGGGAAUGUGGCACAAUGGGGGAAACCCUGAUGCAGCGACGCCGCGUGAUUUAGAAGGCCUUCGGGUUGUAAAAAUCUUUUCUAUGGGAAGCGGUACCAUAGGAAUAAGGACCGGCUAAUUACGUGCCAGCAGCCGCGGUAAUUC
rnacentral:rRNA from 1 species